rnacentral:lncRNA from 1 species
AACGUAGAAGUUCGCUUCUGUAGUUCCAUAGCAACGGAGUCCCAACUGUUGUUACCGUAACGAUGAACGGCGCAGGCGAGUAAAAGCUCCUCCCAGGUACCCCAUGUUUGUUUCUCGGGAAAGCUGUGGUGUUUAGCCAUGAAAUAAAUGAAAAGAAGAGAAGGAAAAGAUAUUAAUAGUACCGGUCACGGUUCAAUAAUAAGUCUCUUUUUGCGAAUAAGUAAGUACCUUUUUAUUCAAAUAAAUUUUUCUAUUUAUGAUUCGUUUGUACGGUAGAAUUUUUAAGGGAAUAGCUAGGCUGCUUCAAUUUCAUUUCCAUUGUAGGUUAAAAUCAUCUUCAAAUAUCUUCCUCGUAUAUUUUUAUAAUUUAAAUCUAAAUGAAUGGAGUUGGAGCAUAUUUGUUAUUAUUUAUUAUUUUGAAGUAGGAGGGGUGGCAUGAAUUUAGAAGGUAAUCAGGAAAUUGAAAGAAUGGGAAAGGGAGCCCUAGGAUGCCGAACCAGAAGGAACAGGCCUAAGGUUAUUGGGCUGAUUGAUGGAGGGUGAGGCGGACCAAGUUAGCAACAUUUAGUAGCGGGCUGAUUCCUACAGCAAGCCCAAGGGACUGAUUUAAUGACUGGAUUGCUGAUGACUCAUUUUCCUCUCAUGCUAGCUGUUAAAAAAGUGAAGUAUGUUACAACAGAAUUUCUAUUAUAUUCUCAAGGCAUGGAAUGAAAUCAGUAGUUUCCCUUUCUCUCAAUCUCCU